rnacentral:lncRNA from 1 species
ACAGAAGACGAAGAGCUGGAAUAGAGCUCGCCUCGGCUCUGCUGGCCUUGGCUGCAGCUCUUCCAGAAACCCGGGGCGCCCACAGAAGAAUCUCUUACCUGGCUCUCUCUUCAGGGAUGACAUCAUCGGCUCACACCAGUCUUCCAGGACCACCUUCUGGAUGCCAAGGCUGCUGCUCGAGUACCUGCUGUGCACCUCUACCUCCUGAGCCAAGGAGCACGGAUUCCAGGAACCCACUACCAUACAGAGCAACUCCUUGUGGACCCCCCUGGGAUCAGGACAGCGAGGGACAAGCGACAAAGAGGAUCAUCAGUGGCCAGCUAGUUUCUCUGGGGUUCAAACCUUGAACCAGUGCCCUAGUGAGGGGGCACUGGCCAUGGCCCUUGACCUUUGCUCUGCUUGUGUCUUGAGUCUGAGCCCUUUCCUGUACAUCUGUGCUCGUGUUCAUCUGCUAGUGAACUGGAGUGCUGCCCUCCCCGAGGAGGGUCGUCCCUUGUGACUGAUCAUGCUGUCCUAACAAUGUCCUGAGCAAAAGGGUCCCUUUGGGAACCUCUCAGGAGGGGGACCCGGGUCAGGGGCGACCAGCAUCUUGCUGGCAACUCCGUGGGUGGGGUGGGGUGGGGUGCUUCCUUCUGGAAUGAGCACGUGGCUGACCCCCCAAGGCAUGUCCCCUCCCCCUCCUCCACCCACCUUCUCGGAGAUGUCCCUUUUGGGGUAGUGGGGACAUUAGGAGCAACCUCCUAGGGUUGUUGUGAGAAUUAAAUGAACUGCAGCAGCCUGAGGCAGGGCUGGGCAGAGACCUCAGCACAUGUUUGUUGAAAGGUUUGCAGGUGGAUCUAGUCCUCCCGUUCAUGGCUCAUGUGUCUCAACCAUUCUCUCGCAGACUCCUGCAGCCCCUAUGCCCAGGGCUCUCCUUGCGCCAGAGGUAGGUGGGAAAGAGAACUGGGAGAGCCCGGACUCACUCAUGAGAUUGAACUUAAAUUCACACGGAGGACACUUGGACUCUUGCCACAUUAGCCCCGGCUUCUCGAGGCCUGUCUACACUCGCUGCUUUCCUUCCUCACCUCCAAUUUCCCCUCCAACCCACUGCUUCCUGACUCGCUCUUCUCCAUCGAACGGCUCUCGCUCAGCUGGCAUUGCCCACCGGCCAUGCCGGCUGAAGAAAAGAAGACUGAGGACCCCAGGAUGCCCAGCGCGAGGACCCCAGGAAGCCCAGCGCGAGGACUCCACCCACGACGCCCAGCGCGAGGACUUCACGCACAACACGUUGCAACCCUCCUGGAUUAGGCCAAAGCCAUCAUCUGGAAUCCUGCGUGGGACCCUGGACACACGGACACAGACACCUGCCCCCAGGACCCUCCAACUGUAAAUCCCUCUACAGCCACGGGGACGCCUUGCACAUUUCCUGUGGGACAUGCUGGACCCAAGACUCUGGACCCUGGCCUCCCCUUGAGUAGAGAGACCCACCUACUGACUGAUGAACUGCGCUGACCCUGGGGUCAGGCAUGUGGCCUUGAUCCCUACCCAUGGACCCUGAGACUUGGGGGGGUGGGAGAAAGGCUGUUGUGUCUUCACUGUUGAGUCUACAUCUGUGAAAUGGGCUCAGGUUCCUACCUCACAGGGCUGUUGUGAGGCAGCCGCAAUGUGCUUAGAAGCAUGGGGCCUAGUGGCUCAUGGUGCUUUCAAUAAAUUUCUUGUUUUAACUAAAGCA